GACGAACGCUGGCGGCGUGCUUAACACAUGCAAGUCGAACGGAAAGGCCCUGCUUUUGUGUGGUGCUCGAGUGGCACGCGGGUGUGUAACCCGUGAGUCUCCUGCCCUUUACUUUGGGAUAUCUUCAGGAAACUGGUGCUACUACCUAAUAGGUGCUCCUGCUGCAGGGGGGUGUUUGGACCGUUUGGGCGGUUGGGGAUGGACUGGCGGCUUAUCAGCUUGUUGGGGGGGUAGUGGCUUACCAAGCCUUUGACGGGUAGCCGGCCUGAGAGGGUGACCGGCCACAUGGGGACUGAGAUACGGCCCAGACUGCUACGGGAGGCAGCAGGGGGGAAUAUUGCACAAUGGGCGGAAGCCUGAGGAAGAAACGCCGCGUGCGGGAUGACGGCCUUCGGGUUGUAAACCGCUUUCGCCUGUGACGAAGCGUGAGUGACGGUAAUGGGUAAAGAAGCACCGGCUAACUACGUG
rnacentral:rRNA from 1 species